AUUACUUACCCCAUUCCAAAACAUGCCCCUUACCGUCCCUCUAGUGCUUUUUGUUGUCCUCGUACUGGUUUUUGUUCUUUGUUGGUUUUAAAGAUGGAGAGAAAAAACCUAGGAAGACAGAGAUGAAAAAGAUGACAAAACGAAAGCAACCUUCAAGUCACCUUCUCAAAACGAAGGGCUGGUCUUUUCAAAAAGGCCAGUGAAAUCAGCACCCUUUGUGGUGUUGAGGUCGCGCUUGUUGUCUUCACGCAGGGCAAACAAGGCCUUCGCUUUUGGCGUCCCUAGCGUCGAUACUGUUAUGGAUCGUUAUCUCGGCCGCAACCCACCGAAAAGUUCGAUAACGCCGCAGAUCGUCGAGGCUCACCGGGAGUCUAACGUUCAUCAGCUCAACAUGGAGCUCACGCAGUUGAUGGAGCAAUUAGAAGCCAAAAAGAAGCUCGGUGAAUAGCUUCACCAAAGGGAGAAAGCUAACCAACGGUAGUACUGGUGCCAGUCACCGGUUGAGGAACUCGAUCUAUCUCAUCUGCAGCUACUCAAAUCCGCCAUGGACGGGU